GAAAGUAAAUCCCAAUUUCUUAAUUAGGAAACAACUAAAUAAUAAAGUAAUUUCAUCCCUAACUACUUUCCUAAAUCAGACUAUUCAAAGGAGAGGACCAAGUUUUUCCAAAGAAGCUUAAAGCUCAAGUAAUGCUUCAUGGGCAUGGAGAAGUUACAAGACAAGAAGUAAAACCCAGUUAUGAACCAACCCAAGGUGGCCGAAAAACUUCAUGACCAAAGUGGGCCAAGGCCGAAAAGAGAUCCAUGGACAGCAUGUGCAGCCAGCAAGACCCCUUUGCCACAUGUGCAGACCAUCACAUGUGCGAUAGAGCCCACCCGCACACACGGGUCCAUCACCAAUGUGAGACAACACAUGAGGCACGUAGACAAAUAACUUCGCACGCCUGGCAUUUGCAUAGAUGUGUGCAGGAAGUGCCCCACAUGCACGCAAUAGCCCGCAUGCACGUAGCACAAGGUUUAUCCAUAGUAGGGGUGCAUGCGCAUGGCCCAAGACCACGAAGCAACAGCCUGCACGAUCCUAACCCAACCCGACUGGCCUACACGAUCCAGGCUAAAUCUGAGUAGCCUGCGGAAUACAUGCCCAACCCUCGCA
rnacentral:lncRNA from 1 species